rnacentral:rRNA from 1 species
UGGGGAAUCUUGCGCAAUGGGCGAAAGCCUGACGCAGCGACGCCGCGUGGGGGAUGAAGGCCUUAGGGUCGUAAACCCCUUUCAGCAGGGACGAAGAUGACGGUACCUGCAGAAGAAGCCCCGGCCAACUACGUGCCAGCAGCCGCGGUAAGACGUAGGGGGCGAGCGUUGUCCGGAAUUAUUGGGCGUAAAGGGCUCGUAGGCGGUUCGGUAAGUCGGAUGUGAAAACUCAGGGCUCAACCCUGAGACGCCAUCCGAUACUGCUGUGACUUGAGUUCGGUAGAGGAGUGUGGAAUUCCUGGUGUAGCGGUGAAAUGCGCAGAUAUCAGGAGGAACACCUACGGCGAAGGCAGCACUCUGGGCCGAAACUGACGCUGAGGAGCGAAAGCGUGGGUAGCAAACAGGAUUAGAUACCCUGGUAGUCCACGCCGUAAACGGUGGGCACUAGGUGUGGGGCCUUAUCAACGGGUUCCGUGCCGAAGCUAACGCAUUAAGUGCCCCGCCUGGGGA